UACGUAGGGGGCGAGCGUUGUCCGGAUUCAUUGGGCGUAAAGCGCGCGUAGGCGGCUCCGCAAGUCGGCCGUGAAAUCUCCGGGCUCAACUCGGAGGGGUCGGGCGAGACUGCGGGGCUCGAGGUGGGCAGAGGGCAGUGGAAUUCCGGGUGUAGUGGUGGAAUGCGUAGAGAUCCGGAGGAACACCAGUGGCGAAGGCGGCUGCCUGGGCCUGGCCUGACGCUGAGGCGCGAAAGCGUGGGGAGCAAACAGG
rnacentral:rRNA from 1 species